UACAGAGGUCUCAAGCGUUGUUCGGAUUCAUUGGGCGUAAAGGGUGCGUAGGCGGCGCGGUAAGUCGGGUGUGAAAUCUCGGAGCUUAACUCCGAAACUGCAUUCGAUACUGCCGUGCUUGAGGACUGGAGAGGAGACUGGAAUUUACGGUGUAGCGGUGAAAUGCGUAGAUAUCGUAAGGAAGACCAGAGGCGAAAGCGAGCUUCUAGGCAGUUACUGACGCUCAUGCACGAAAGCCAAGGUAGCAAACGGG
rnacentral:rRNA from 1 species